rnacentral:rRNA from 1 species
UCUGAAUCUGCGUACGGCUCCGCAAACCAGUUGUAAACUAUAGCAAGCAAGCCUGGGGUCGGCCUUCACGGGCUGGCCCUGGGCGAUAUGGAUAACCCUGGUAAUUCUGAGGCUAAUACAUGAACGUAAAACCUGGCCGACCGGGCUUCGGCUUGGGAGGCUGGGGGAUGUGCGAUUGCAGGCUUGGGUAACACCGGGAAAGGGCGCACGUCCAGACCGCGCUAAAAAGGUCGGGACCCUUCGGGGACCCGCCCCAGCGGCUCUUGCUGUGUGCUUCUGACCUAUCAACUAGACGGCAGCGUAUAGGGACAUGCUA